UACGUAGGGGGCAAGCGUUGUCCGGAUUUAUUGGGCGUAAAGAGCGUGUAGGCGGCUAGAUAGGUCCGUUGUGAAAACUCGAGGCUCAACCUCGAGACGUCGAUGGAAACCAUCUGGCUAGAGUCCGGAAGAGGAGAGUGGAAUUCCUGGUGUAGCGGUGAAAUGCGCAGAUAUCGUAAGGAAGACCAGUGGCGAAGGCGGGUCUCUGGACAGUUCCUGACGCUGAGGCACGAAGGCCAGGGGAGCAAACGGG
rnacentral:rRNA from 1 species